GAUGAACGCUGGCGGCGUGCCUAAUACAUGCAAGUCGAGCGAAUGGAUUAAGAGCUUGCUCUUAUGAAGUUAGCGGCCACGGGUGAGUAACACGUGGGUAACCUGCCCAUAAGACUGGGAUAACUCCGGGAAACCGGGGCUAAUACCGUGACGGCCUGAAACAUUUUGAACCGCAUGGUUCGAAAUUGAAAGGCGGCUUCGGCUGUCACUUAUGGAUGGACCCGCGUCGCAUUAGCUAGUUGGUGAGGUAACGGCUCACCAAGGCAACGAUGCGUAGCCGACCUGAGAGGGUGAUCGGCCACACUGGGACUGAGACACGUCCCAGACUCCUACGGGAGGCAGCAGUAGGGAAUCUUCCGCAAUGGACGAAAGUCUGACGGAGCAACGCCGCGUGAGUGAUGAAGGCUUUCGGGUCGUAAAACUCUGUUGUUAGGGAAGAACAAGUGCUAGUUGAAUAAGCUGGCACCUUGACGGUACCUAACCAGAUAGCCACGGCUAACUACGUGCCAGCAGCCGCGGUAAUACGUAGGUGGCAAGCGUUAUCCGGAAUUAUUGGGCGUAAAGCGCGCGCAGGUGGUUUCUUAAGUCUGAUGUGAAAGCCCACGGCUCAACCGUGGAGGGUCAUUGGAAACUGGGAGUGACACAAACUUGAGUGCAGAAGAGGAAAGUGGAAUUCCAUGUGUAGCGGUGAAAUGCGUAGAGAUAUGGAGGAACACCAGUGGCGAAGGCGACUUUCUGGUCUGUAACUGACACUGAGGCGCGAAAGCGUGGGGAGCAAACAGGAUUAGAUACCCUGGUAGUCCACGCCGUAAACGAUGAGUGCUAAGUGUUAGAGGGUUUCCGCCCUUUAGUGCUGAAGUUAACGCAUUAAGCACUCCGCCUGGGGAGUACGGCCGCAAUUGACGGCUGAAACUCAAAGGAAUUGACGGGGGCGGGCACAAGCGGUGGAGCAUGUUUGCAACGUUUAAUUCGAAUUGCAACGCGAAGAACCUUACCAGGUCUUGACAUCCUCUGAAAACCCUAGAGACGUUAGGGCUCCUUCGUCAAAACAUGCUUCGGGAGCAGAGUGACAGGUGGUGCAUGGUUGUCGUCGAUAGCUCGUGUCGUGAGAUGUUGGGUUAAGCGGUCCCGCAACGAGCGCAACCCUUGAUCUUAGUUGCCAUCAUUAAGUUGGGCACUCUGAUAAGGUGACUGCCGGUGACAAACCGGAGGAAGGUGGGGAUGACGUCAAAUCAUCAUGUUGCACCUUAUGACCGUGCUACAAUGGACGGUACAAAGAGCUGCAAGACCGGGGCGAGGUCCGGCGAGGAGCUAAUCUCAUUAAAAACCGUUCUCAGUUCGGAUUGUAGGCUGCAACUCGCCGAAGCUGGAAUAGGGAUCACGCGGUGAAUACGUUCCCGGGCCUUGUACACACCGCCCGUCACACCACGAGAGUUUGUAAGUCGGUGGGGUAACCUUUUUGGAGCCAGCCGCCUAAGGUGGGACAGAUGAUUGGGGUG
rnacentral:rRNA from 1 species